AGAGCUGGCGGUGAUCUCAGGGCCCGGCGAUUUCCUGCGUCUGGCCGGCUUCAGGUAGGAAGGAGCCCAACCUGGCACAGAGAUGCAGCCAGAGCACGGAGGUCGCCAUCCCUGAAGAAAAAAACAAAGGAUGGAGUAUUGCGUGGUCAACCUUCAGCCAAUUGGGCAGGAGGAGGACUUGGCAGUCAACAGGCAUUGUUGACAGAGAAACAUACUUUCCAUAAGGGAGAGGAUGAGAUCAAGAGCCAGGAAACCCGGUGGACAAAAAUGACUACUAAGACAUACAUCACACAGCUGGAACUCAAACCAUCUUUCAGACCACCUCAGAAAAAACAUCUUCUGAACCUUCAAAGAACAGGAAGAGAUGCUGUGGAACAGGAAAUAGGAUGAUGGAUCCCCAAAGAGCAGAAGGGCUCAGAAAUUUGAGAAGUGGGCUUCUUUCCAUGGGGGUUAUCAGCCUGAAUUUUGUUGUUCUGGGUGGGGUGGGGAGAAGUUGGUGAGUGAGCGAUUCUGGCCCUUUCCACCUGUCUUUCUGCACUGAGCAAGAUGCGGUCCCCCUUUAAACCUGCCUGGUCCUCAGGGAUGGAGGUCUUCUGGAUCUGGUGGCCUGUCUGGGAGAGUCCCAUUUCUUCUCCUCUUGUUGAGGGAGAUCCAAGAUGCCUUGCACACCCCUCCCAGUUCCCUUCAAUUUGCAAGUCCCUCUUUUUCCAAAACAUACAAAACAUAAUUUUCCCCAAGAGGUCCAUCUUAUUAAGCCACAUGAUAAUAAUAUGCACUCCAUCAUCUGGAACAAUUUAUUUAGAAAUAUGUUUAUAUAUACAUAUUUAUAAAUGUACACACACAAUAUGAGAGACUCCCAUCCCACAAAGUCAGGCGUCUUGUGGAUGGAAGAUUUAGAAAAAGAAUCCAGUGAUGUACACAGGCAAAAGAAAUCACUGCAAGUUUGAAUUGUUUGCCUGAUGCCACCAAAGGAGGGCAUAAGCGCCUACCAAGCCCAACCUGGUUCCCAAGUUACCACCUAGGAAAUGUCUACGAUGGGAGAGCUACCUGUGACUUUCAGCUUCAUUUCUCUGCAAGCAAGAAAGCAAUUUAAGCUUCUGAAGAGGCUGAUUGGUCGGGCUGCAGCUCCCUAAGCUAGGAAGAAAGGCAAAAGACUGAAGGAAGGGCAUCAAAGAUCUUUUGAUCUUCUCAUGGACCAUCCACCCUGGCCCCACGGAGCCAAUUAUUCCCAAGGGAAGACAUCACUCAACAUCAAAAAAGUGGCAUGAGGAACCAGUUUCCUUUGUUCUCCCUCCCCACAAUUCAAGGGUCACCAAUAUCCAACUUCUAUAUACAUGCACGAUAAGGCACAAUUCUCUCAACCAAUUGUUGUGAAAACCAACCACAAUUUGGUGCAGGUGUUCUGUGUAGUAAGCCACAACUGCUGUUUCAUUGACCCAGUAGCUGGGCCCACACAUUGCCUUUAGCUAGAACAUCAGCCACCUGUGUUAAUGUCUCUGUAUUCAUUUCCUAAAUUGAUAGGGCCGCCCAUCUGAUCUGCAUGACUCAAUGUAGCUAACAAAACAUUGUUUAGCAUUUCCUUUGAACUCAGUUACUGUAGCUUGUAACCAUGGACAGUAGCUUGGUGCUAUGUGUAAAUAUGACCACCUGUGGUUUGUGUGUGUCUUGGUCAAGUUCUCUUCUGAGGGGCUCCUCAGAGGGGCUCAUUGACCAACCCUCACCACUUCCCAGGGGUCCAGUUUCAUAAAUGGACAAUACUUUUGCCCAGCCCACCUGCUGCCCACCAUUUGCUCAGCUACAGAUUCUACUUGCAGACCAAUAAAAUGCUUUUAUUCCUUCCAGAGGAAUAAAAUAUUUGCCUUUCGUUUGGAUUAGCAGAUUCAACAUAUACCAUGGAAUUUCCCUACAGGACAACCCUUUCCAGAUUUCAACCCUCUCUAGGGUGUCCAGUGAUGGACCACCUUCCCAAGAUGGAGUCCCAAUUUUCUUUA